GACGAACGCUGGCGGCGUGCUUAACACAUGCAAGUCGAACGGAAAGGCCUGCUUUCCCUUGUGGAUUGCGGGUACUCGAGUGGCGAACGGGUGAGUAACACGUGAGUGAUCUGCCCCCAACUUGGGUAUAAGCCUGGGAAACUGGGUCUAAUUCCCGAUAGGACUGCAGGGUGGUGCCUGUGGUGGAAAACGAUUUUCUAGUGGUUGGGGAUGAGCUCGCGGCCUAUCAGCUUGUUGGUGGGGUAAUGGCCUACCAAGGCGGCGACGGGUAGCCGGCCUGAGAGGGUGGACGGGCAGAUUAGGACUGAGACACGGCCCAGACGCCUACGGGAGGCAGCAGUGGGGAAUAGUGCACGAUGGGCGGAAGCCUGAUGCAGCGACGCCGGGUGGGGGAUGACGGCCUUCGGGUUGUAAACUCCUGGCGACAGCGAGGAAGCCACCUGGUUGGAAGGGUGGUGACGGUAGUGGUAGAAGAAGCACCGGCUAACUACGU
rnacentral:rRNA from 1 species